rnacentral:rRNA from 1 species
GACGAACGCUGGCGGCGUGCUUAACACAUGCAAGUCGAACGGAAAGGCCCUGCUUUUGUGGGGUGCUCGAGUGGCGAAAGGGUGAGUAACACGUGGGUAACCUGCCCUUGACUUUGGGAUAACUUCAGGAAAAUGGGGCUAAUACCGGAUAGGAGCUCCUGCUGCAUGGGGGGGGUUGGAAAGUUUCGGCGGUUGGGGAUGGACUCGCGGCUUAUCAGCUUGUUGGUGGGGUAGUGGCUUACCAAGGCUUUGACGGGUAGCCGGCCUGAGAGGGUGACCGGCCACAUUGGGACUGAGAUACGGCCCAGACUCCUACGGGAGGCAGCAGUGGGGAAUAUUGCACAAUGGGCGGAAGCCUGAUGCAGCAACGCCGCGUGCGGGAUGACGGCCUUCGGGUUGUAAACCGCUUUCGCCUGUGACGAAGCGUGAGUGACGGUAAUGGGUAAAGAAGCACCGGCUAACUACGUG